rnacentral:rRNA from 1 species
UUUGGUAAUGGGCGCAAGCCUGACCAGCCAUGCCGCGUGAAGGAUGACGGCCCUAUGGGUUGUAAACUUCUUUUGUACGGGAAGAAACACUCCGACGUGUCGGAGCUUGACGGUACCGUGCGAAUAAGCAUCGGCUAACUCCGUGCCAGCAGCCGCGGUAAUACNGGAGGAUGCAAGCGUUAUCCGGAUUUAUUGGGUUUAAAGGGUACGUAGGCGGAGAAUUAAGUCAGUGGUGAAAUCCUGCAGCUUAACUGUGGAACUGUCAUUGAUACUGGUUUUCUUGAAUGUAGUUGAGGUAGGCGGAAUGUGUAAUGUAGCGGUGAAAUGCUUAGAUAUUACACAGAACACCGAUUGCGAAGGCAGCUUACCAAGCUAUGAUUGACGCUGAGGUACGAAAGCGUGGGGAGCGAACAGGAUUAGAUACCCUGGUAGUCCACGCUGUAAACUAUGAUCACUCGUUGUUGGCAAUACAUCGUCAGCGACUGAGCGAAAGCAUUAAGUGAUCCACCUGGGGAGUACGAUCGCAAGAUUGAAACUCAAAAAAAUUGACGGA